UCGGACGGGUGAGUAAUGUCUGGGAAACUGCCUGAUGGAGGGGGAUAACUACUGGAAACGGUAGCUAAUACCGCAUAACGUCGCGAGACCAAAGAGGGGGACCUUAGGGCCUCUUGCCAUCGGAUGUGCCCAGAUGGGAUUAGCUAGUAGGUGGGGUAACGGCUCACCUAGGCGACGAUCCCUAGCUGGUCUGAGAGGAUGACCAGCCACACUGGAACUGAGACACGGUCCAG
rnacentral:rRNA from 1 species